UGCGCAGGUGGGCUUGUAAGUCAGUGGUGAAAUACUGCCGCUUAACGGUAGAACUGCCAUUGAUACUGCGAGUCUUGAGUAUGGUUGAGGUAGGCGGAAUGUGUUGUGUAGCGGUGAAAUGCAUAGAUAUGACACAGAACGCCGAUUGCGAAGGCAGCUUACUAAGCCAUUACUGACGCUGAGGCACGAAAGCGUGGGGAGCAAACAGGAUUAGAUACCCUGGUAGUCC
rnacentral:rRNA from 1 species